UCUGUUGUAGAUUUUUGGUUUAUGGUUACCAUUGGUAUUUAUACAGCAGUCUAUAUAUAUAAAUGACUGUUUUAAGUUGCUGAUCUCUUAAUCUCAAGUGCAUUUUAACUAGCCUCUAUUUGUACUCUCCUCCCCUUAUGAUUACUGUUUUUGAUGUCAUGUUUUACACCUGUUUUGUGUAUCCCUUAACUGCUUAUUGUGGAUAGAGGUGGUUUUACUUUUGCUUUGUAACCUCCCUACUAGCUUUGUGUGGGGAUGAUUUCCUACCUUUACUGCUUGUUUGCCUUUACCGGUGAGCUUCUUCAUUUCAUAAUUUUCUUGUUUCUUGUUGUGGCCUUUUCUUUUUUGCCUAGAGAAGUUCCUCUAAGAUUUGUUGUAAAACUGGUUUGGUUGUGCUGAACUCUUUUUAGCUUUUGCUUGUCUGUAGAGAUUUUGAUUUCUCCAUCAGAUGUGAACAAGAACCUUGAUGGGUGGAAUAUUCUUGCUUGUAGGUUUUUCCCUUUCAUCACUUUAAAUAUAUCAUGCCACUCCCUUCUGGCCUGCAGUUUCUGCUGAAAAAUCAGCUGAUAGCUUUAUGGGAGUUCCCUUGUAUGUUAUAUGUUGCUUUUCCCUCACUGCUUUUAAUAUUCUCUCUAUAUCCUUAAUUUUUGUCAUUUUAAUUACAAUGUGUCUUGGUAUGUUCCUCUUUGGGUUAAUCCUGUAUUGGACUCUCUGUGCUUCCUGGACUAGAGUGACUAUUUCUUUCUCCAGGUUAGGGAAGUUUUCAGCUAUUAUGUCUCAGAUAUUUUCUCAGGCCCUUUCUCCUGCUCUUAUCCUUCUGGGACCCCUACAAUGUAAAUAUUAGUGUGCUUGAUGUACCAGAGGGCUCUUAUACUGUCCUCUUUUUUUUUCUCUUUUCUUCUUUUGUUUAGCGUCAGUGAUUUCCACUACUCUGUCUUCCAGCUCACUGAUCCGUUUGCCACCUACUUCUUUGAGAGGCUCUCCAAGACCAGCAGGUUCCAGUCUUUUUCAUCAAUGGCUGUUCUGCAGAUCGUUGUGAUUUUGGUGUGCUUGUGAGAGGAGAGUCAUCUCCCUAGAUUGUAAAAGUGCAGGCCCUGCAAGACCUGGAUCCACCCUGACUGACAUCCUGAAUGAACAGCAACGCUGCUACCAGGAUUGGAUUAUACUUCAAAGGAGGCCAACUUUCAUGCCAAGCCACCAUGGAGACACUAAAGAAGUAAUGAGAAGACUGCUGCUCCCAUGGAAAUGCAACAAAAGCAGGUUACCCCACACACGACUAGACCAAUGCUUAAAAAACAUUUUACUUAAUGUUCCCAACUCACCUCUAGCCCCUCACCAACUGUUCUGGGGACUGUUAUUUGGCAAAACUUUAUUGAAAGCUAACAUACCAUCUUAUUCCCUCAGACCAUGUGAGGCCUAAGACUGGACACAUUGCUUUUCAUGUCCAAUUAGAAAUAUGCCCAGGAUACUUAUUCUGUUGAAGUGUAAAGAUGUAAAGAUGUAAAGAUGUAAAAUACCUGUAAAAAUACCUGUAAAAAUACCUGUUCUAACAGUUUCUUUACAGGUGAGUUAACUGAGGUCAAAAUAAAUUAGGUGAUUUGUACAAGGUCACACUAGUGAAAAGCAGAACUGUAAACCAUGCUCGCAGCUCCUUUCGCUGUAAAAUGACUGCAAAUUAUGCAUCCAUGGACCUCUAGAAUGUAACAUAUGUCUGCACAGAUAGAAAUCAGCCUGGAGCAAACUGUCAUUUGCAAGACAUACUGAUCUUGUAUGAAGAUGAAGUGUUAGGAUUCCUCAAUAUUAUACCAUUAUGACACUUUAGCACUAAAAGUCCCAGCAUGUCUGGGAAUGCCAACUACAAGCAACACCCUCAUAAUUCUGCAGUUUUAACUAAUAAAAGCAAAAAUAAAAAAAUUUAGCUCAUAUAUAUGUAAAGUUAACUCAGCUGGACGUAACAUUUCCCACAAUGAAUCCAGAAUCACACUGGAUUGUGGCAUAGGCAGUAGUAUUAACCAAUCUAUAGAAAAAGGCGUAUCAGUUCCUAAGUGGGAACACAGUAGGGGGACAGGGGCUGUGAAAGUAAUCAGAGAAGCAGGAUAGAUACAGUGUGUCUAGAAUUUUCCAAGGAACGGAGACACAGAAUUUGGAGAAUACAAACAACUGGGGAGGUGGGGUGGUGGAGUCUCUUUUGUGGGGAAUAUUAGCCUAGGUAAACUACUCAAGACAUCUACCUAAUUUUAUCCAAAUAUUAAAAUGUCUGAUGACUAAUUCCAUUUCCUGGGUUCUUCCAGAGAGGCAGAAAAAUACCCAGGACAGAAUUCUCAAGUAUUCUAGUUACUAGAAUCCACCUCCUACAAAAUUACCAGGUUGGCCUUCUGGUUCACCUAUCAAUCUCCUAGGUCUGGUCAACUCAGGGUUUCAGGGCCACCAGGGUGAAGCAUGGUUGACUUCACCAAGGAAAUGUUACCUGUUGAGGCUGCCUCCUGGUCAGCUUGCAGAUCUUUACUGGGAUGCCCAAUGUCACCUCAUAUUCCUUCCAUUUCACCACCAAACCUACUGCCUAAACAUGGCUUCAACAAAGACCUUUCAGAGAUUCAAAACAUACCUGGUAAAGGCAUUAAGAAAACUUAUAUGCUCUCCUUACAUAAACUGAAUACACCCUUUAAUCAGUUCUUGAAGUGAAAAGGCUAUAGCUCUCAAAUCCUUUCCAAGAGGCACCUUCAUCUACACUGCCUGGAUUCCACAGGACCAAACCAGGGACAUGCAACUGCAUAGUUCAACUUAUGUAGAGAUGUUUCUUUUCUCUGUCUGUAUUUUUACUCCUAAUUUUAACUAUUUAUUUUUGACUUCAUGAAUGUGGAAGAAAUGUAACUCUUCAAACAAAAAUAGUAAUACCAUUCAUUUGGAGCACCUAAGUAUCUGUCUGCUAGUUUGACCACUAAAAAUUGCUAAAAAGUUCCCUUCCCAGUAAAUGCAGACUACUUUCCCAUGCCUUUUUCAGCCUUAUCAAUACUUGGAGAGACUGACCAAAACAUAUUCUUUUUUUUUUUUUUUUUUUUUAAAUCCAGUUUUCCUCCAAUAGACAGGAAGCAUCGUAGCCACUUAGUCUUUCCAAGUUGGUGUCUAAAGGCCACUAAGAGAGACCGAGCCUCUAUUUUUAUUCUUGUUCCUCAGCCAAGACUCUAUUUUUACCCUGAUACCAAGAAUACUCUCUCCAGGAAUGCCUUGAAAUAAGACUACAUUGCUGGGACUUCGCUGGUGGUCCAGUGGUAAAGAAUGCUCCUUACAAUGCAGGGGACACGGGUUCGAUCCCUAGUCAGGGAACUAAGAUCCCACAUGCUGCGGGGCAACGAAGCCCAUGAGCCACAACUACUGAGCUCAUGCGCCUCAACUAGAGAGCCCACGUGCCGCAAACUACAGAGCCCAUGAGCUCUGGAGCCUGUGCGCCACCACCAGAGAGAAGCCCGUGUGCCGCAACAAAGAGCCCGCCUGCCGCAACUAAGACCUGAUGCAGCCAAAAAUUAAAAAAAUUAAAAAUAAAUAA